rnacentral:rRNA from 1 species
CAGCAGCCGCGGUAAUACGUAGGUGGCAAGCGUUGUCCGGAUUUAUUGGGCGUAAAGAGAGCGCAGGCGGUUUAGUAAGUCUGAAGCUAAAGGCAUUGGCUCAACCAAUGUAUGCUUUGGAAACUGUUAGACUUGGGUGCAGAAGGGGAGGGUGGAAUUCCAUGUGUAGCGGUGAAAUGCGUAGAUAUAUGGAGGAACACCGGUGGCGAAAGCGGCUCUCUGGUCUGUCACUGACGCUGAGGCUCGAAAGCGUGGGUAGCGAACAGGAUUAGAUACCCGCGUAGUCCCUGUCUCUUAUACC